AUACGUAGGCAGCAAGCGUUGUUCGGAGUUACUGGGCGUAAAGAGUGCGUAGGUGGUUCUCUAAGUUCGGUGUGAAAUCUCCCGGCUCAACUGGGAGGGUGCGCCGAAAACUGGAGAGCUUGAGUAUGGGAGAGGAGAGCGGAAUUCCUGGUGUAGCGGUGAAAUGCGUAGAUAUCAGGAGGAACACCUGUGGUGCAGACGGCUCUCUGGACCAUUACUGACACUGAGGCGCGAAAGCUAGGGGAGC
rnacentral:rRNA from 1 species